rnacentral:tRNA from 1 species
GGGCUUGUAGCUCAGUGGUAGAGCAGCGGCCUUUUAAGCCGUUAGUCGAGGGUUCGAAUCCCUCCGGGCCCA